AUUGAACGCUGGCGGAAUGCUUUACACAUGCAAGUCGAACGGCAGCACGGGUGCUUGCACCUGGUGGCGAGUGGCGAACGGGUGAGUAAUACAUCGGAACGUACCUUAUCGUGGGGGAUAACGCAGCGAAAGCUGUGCUAAUACCGCAUACGCCCUGAGGGGGAAAGCGGGGGAUCGCAAGACCUCGCGCGAUUAGAGCGGCCGAUGCCUGAUUAGCUAGUUGGUGGGGUAAAAGCCCACCAAGGCGACGAUCAGUAGCUGGUCUGAGAGGACGAUCAGCCACACUGGGACUGAGACACGGCCCAGACUCCUACGGGAGGCAGCAGUGGGGAAUUUUGGACAAUGGGGGCAACCCUGAUCCAGCAAUGCCGCGUGAGUGAAGAAGGCCUUCGGGUUGUAAAGCUCUUUUGUCAGGGAAGAAACACCGGCUCUAACACAGUCCGGGAAUGACGGUACCUGAAGAAUAAGCACCGGCUAACUACGUG
rnacentral:rRNA from 1 species